CCCAUAUUCUAGGUCACUCUAGCGGCGUAUUUGUGUUGCGAUUGCAUCAUUCUUCUCGGAGCCGGAGUGAACUUGAAGUCGCGUGUUUGCAUUAGUUUUUUGAAGUGCUGUUGGGGCUGGGGCUGCGUGAUCGUCACUGGCGUCCUCCAGAGUGCCCACCGAUCAGAAAGUCGUACGAACCGCAAGCUUUGAACGUCUGUUUAUCGCACCAUCGAAAGCGGCGGCACAGAAGGCGCGAUGUGAGUUCCGGUGGGAACAGCAGCCCUUUGUCUCGUAACGGUGCCAUCCAGACUGGCCAUGAGACCAGGGAAUUUGCUGUAGGAACAGCCAUCUGGGAGUGGCUGCGUCACGCUCCUGCCAGGCACAGAACUGCCAUUGCCAAGGACUGUGCCACUGAACAGCCCGGAUAUGUGUGACAUGGUUCCAUCGGCCUGUUGCACCUUUACCUAUCACCCGCGGCAUCUAGCUGCCAGAGUGACCUUGCUUU